rnacentral:lncRNA from 1 species
AUAUGGCUUCCUUGGCCUCCCAACCAACGGAUCUAUUACCAUUGCAUAGACAAAGACAUCAAGCAAUGGUGCAGCUAAAGAACUUGCUUGAUGAUACACAUACAGUCAGGGCAAGACAGAACUGGGGCUAAGGAGAUUCACAGUAAGCACUUUGCAACAGGGCGCUAGAUUGCAAUUAAGAGGUCUCCUUUGAGAUCAGAGCUAGACUGGAGGCCAGCAAGGUCAAGCAAUCCUUCUGUCUCUGCUCCCACAGACCUCUGGGGUCACAGGCAAGCAUAGAAUCAUACUCAGUCCUUUCCCAGGAUUUGAACUCAGGUACUCAUGCUUGUGCAGCCUACACUCUUAUCUGAAGGCCAUGUCCUCAACCCCUGAGUGUUUUCUUUCCAUCACAAGAUUAGCAAGAUUUAACUUUUUCUUUGCUCUGAGCCAUAGACAUCAUAGACACUUUGGCAAGCAACACUACCUGACUCAAGAGCUAGCAGACUCUAAAGUCUAUGUCCUCCCCAUCAAUCCCACAACAGUGAAUACAGUGUUUGCUUAUGCAGUGAUGGCUCUAGCUAACACUCCUGUUGCUGCUGCCCCUUCAGGAAUUCAUUGUAAAAGAGGUUCACUGUACUUUGAAAGGCAAUUUGGAAUUCUUCAUGACAAAGGUUCUGUAUAAAGGAGGUUAUAUAAUGGA